rnacentral:rRNA from 1 species
GCCCAGACUCCUACGGGAGGCAGCAGUAGGGAAUCUUCCGCAAUGGACGAAAGUCUGACGGAGCAACGCCGCGUGAGUGAUGAAGGUUUUCGGAUCGUAAAGCUCUGUUGUUAGGGAAGAACAAGUGCGAGAGUAACUGCUCGCACCUUGACGGUACCUAACCAGAAAGCCACGGCUAACUACGUGCCAGCAGCCGCGGUAAUACGUAGGUGGCAAGCGUUGUCCGGAAUUAUUGGGCGUAAAGGGCUCGCAGGCGGUUUCUUAAGUCUGAUGUGAAAGCCCCCGGCUCAACCGGGGAGGGUCAUUGGAAACUGGGAAACUUGAGUGCAGAAGAGGAGAGUGGAAUUCCACGUGUAGCGGUGAAAUGCGUAGAGAUGUGGAGGAACACCAGUGGCGAAGGCGACUCUCUGGUCUGUAACUGACGCUGAGGAGCGAAAGCGUGGGGAGCGAACAGGAUUAGAUACCCUGGUAGUCCACGCCGUAAACGAUGAGUGCUAAGUGUUAGGGGGUUUCCGCCCCUUAGUGCUGCAGCUAACGCAUUAAGCACUCCGCCUGGGGAGUACGGUCGCAAGACUGAAACUCAAAGGAAUUGACGGGGGCCCGCACAAGCGGUGGAGCAUGUGGUUUAAUUCGAAGCAACGCGAAGAACCUUACCAGGUCUUGACAUCCUCUGACAACCCUAGAGAUAGGGCUUUCCCUUCGGGGACAGAGUGACAGGUGGUGCAUGGUUGUCGUCAGCUCGUGUCGUGAGAUGUUGGGUUAAGUCCCGCAACGAGCGCAACCCUUGAUCUUAGUUGCCAGCAUUCAGUUGGGCACUCUAAGGUGACUGCCGGUGACAAACCGGAGGAAGGUGGGGAUGACGUCAAAUCAUCAUGC